UGGACCAUGAAAGAAUAUUCCAUGGCAUAGCUGCACACAUGCCUAUAUGCCUCUCUCGUGAGAGCGUCGAUUGCUUCCCUGUCCACUGACGCGCAGGGCCGGCAUCUGUCAUUGCACUCUACAAACCUCGGCUAGACGCGGCAGGGGAGAUGGUGGUGAGAUACCAUUGUCCGGAUUGGUCAGUGGGAGGAAAUGGUGAAUUAUUAGCACUGUGAUCUGCUCUUCGAACCUCGCUCAAGAAGGUAGUACUGGCAGAAGUGAGGGAAGUUCCAAAGUUACUCGAGUAAUGCUGCUGUGAGCCAUUUUCCAGCCAGCCAGGUUUCUAAGCUGAGCACCCAUAGUUGAAAGCAGACUUCCAAGAGAAGCCAGCUCCCAAAAGUUCCUGCCAAGACUCAAUGGUCAGACCUACGGAAGAAAAUUGGGAAUUCAAGCUAUUUAUUUUGGACUGUAAAUGCGAUGUAAGCUUUUUGAGGAAAUCUGUCUGCUCUGUUCCAGUUCUGUACAAAGCAGGACAUGAGCAUUUGAAACAAAGGUAAUGCCGGUGCUGAACCCGUCAAAUGAGGCCGCAGCAGUCCUGCCGUACCUGACAGCCACGUACAUAUGGGAGUCAAGAGAGAGACAAGCCACCAGGCUGCCUGAAGCACCAGGGGCGGGCAGUGACCUGCCAGGUGGGCUAGUAGAGUUCUGCCGACAGGGAAAUCAAAGAACAAGUUAAACGCAGACUUUUUUCCGCUCGGUCUGGAGUGCAAGCACCGCAGACCUUACUUGCCUGAUGUUCUCAGCAUGAUGUAGAUCUUCAUACGUUGAAAACACAGCUGUAGCCCUGAGGGCUGGCCUCUUCCAGAAGCUGGGCACACAGGAAACGUCACCAGCUACCUGUCAAAAAACUGACUGGAAUGAGAUGCGAGUGAAAUCAGAAUCAGGCCUACUACAUGCAGUUAAUCAUAAAUAAGGCUGUCUCGGUAAUGGUUGCAAUUAGUUAUGAACUUCAAUCAUUUCUAACGUUUCCAUGUUGGCCAAUUAUGCUGCAGAAAUUAUCAAGUAACCCAUAGCACAUUAGCUUUCUGUAAUGCCAUUGUUUGGACGUGCUCAGGUCACCAGAUCCUCGCCAGGAUGGAUUAGCACAGCUCUCCGAAGUACAAUGGUGCUGGGCUGAUUUACAUUGGCUGAAAAGCUGUCCCUUUGUCUGCUGGAGUUGUAGCAGGAGCAAGUUUAAAUCACAGCUUUGCAUUAGAGACUCUUAGGACCCCGCCUUAUAGAAACAAUGGUAGGUGUGUUUUCUCUCUCGGCUGUGCAGAUGACUUAUUAGAUGCCAACAGUAAUUCUUAGGUCUGGUGGUAGUUGAACAAUAAGCUGAAAUCGUACUUUAAUGGUGCAAUUUGAAGCUGGGAAAAGGAACACAUAAUUAAUGGGCUCGUCUGACUUCUUAGAAGAGAAGCCUAUCAGAUAAGAUGUCUUGAACUGAUGAAGUGGUUGUGCUGACCAGCGGCUUAGAACUUCCUUAUGCACUUGCCCAACAGCUUAUUAAAAUGACUUUUGUUUUGAUUUUACAGGACUGCGGAGGUGUGUUAGGACUGCUGUUUUCUGAUGGCAGGUACGAUUAUUUUACUAUGGAA